rnacentral:rRNA from 1 species
AUUGAACGCUGGCGGCAGGCCUAACACAUGCAAGUCGAGCGGAUGACGGGAGCUUGCUCCUUGAUUCAGCGGCGGACGGGUGAGUAAUGCCUAGGAAUCUGCCUGGUAGUGGGGGACAACGUUUCGAAAGGAACGCUAAUACCGCAUACGUCCUACGGGAGAAAGCAGGGGACCUUCGGGCCUUGCGCUAUCAGAUGAGCCUAGGUCGGAUUAGCUAGUUGGUGGGGUAAUGGCUCACCAAGGCGACGAUCCGUAACUGGUCUGAGAGGAUGAUCAGUCACACUGGAACUGAGACACGGUCCAGAGUCGUACGGGAGGCAGCAGUGGGGAAUAUUGGACAAUGGGCGAAAGCCUGAUCCAGCCAUGCCGCGUGUGUGAAGAAGGUCUUCGGAUUGUAAAGCACUUUAAGUUGGGAGGAAGGGCAGUAAGCUAAUACCUUGCUGUUUUGACGUUACCGACAGAAUAAGCACCGGCUAACUCUGUGCCAGCCGCCGCGGUAAAAC